GGCUAGUCUGGUGUGGUGGAGUUUACAGCUAAUUGAUCACAACCAGUUACAGAUUUCUUUGUUCCUUUUCCACUCCCACUGCUUCCCUUGACUAAUCUGAA
rnacentral:Y_RNA from 1 species